UUUGUCAUUCUCCAUUUACAUACUCUCUCAUCCGAUUCGGGUCGGGUUUGCAUUAUCGGAAUACUUCGCCGGAAAAUUCUUAGUCGACGUAGCGAAAAUGGCGGUAUCCCUAGUGACGAGGCUCGUGCGGCGGCGAUCGCCGUCGCUUCUCUGGCGGCGCAGCUUUUCUAUGUCGGCAGUGGAUGCCGAAAAGGAAGCCGUGGUCGUGCCGGAGCUUCCGCCGUUCGAUUACUCCCCGCCGCCGUAUGCGGGCCCCACCGCUGAGGAGAUUUUGGCGAAGCGCAGGGAGUAUAUGAGUCCUUCCAUCUUGCAUUCAUACAAGAACCCCAUGAGUCCGUGCUGCACACGAUUAUUUCCCGACAAAUAAUUAUGAGUUUAACGUUGAUCCACUUGAGUAGUGUAUAAGUAACUCAUCAUUUAAAAGUUUUUACCAUGUGAACCAGUUAAUCUUAUAAUUUUUUAUUUAAUUUUUGUAAUACAAAAUUGUUGUAUGUUGGUUGAUUAACAACCAUUAGUUAAUUCUUUUACUCUUUACCAACUUAGUAUUUUUCUAUUUUCUGUUAUAGCAUGUAAGAGUUAAUUAGUUUUAAGUUGGUUGCGUUAGUUGGGCUAGAAAUAGUACUUUUAUUUCUUCUUCUUGCAUAGCCUAAUUUUGUAGAGAGCUUUGUACAUAGAAAAUUCUGCAGAGAUUGAAUAAAAGUGGCUACUGAGUUCUGUGCAGUUUUUUUGGUUCAUUUUUUUUUUUUGCAUUUUGCUUAUUCUUGUUCAUACAAGAAACUCAUUCUUUUGUGAAGAAAAAUCUGAUCUUGGCACAACAAAUUGGUGCGAUGAGCAUGGAGUGAUUUUGAGUUUGAUUCAAGAAAUGAGCUCGACCAAGUAUGAGGUUGAAAAAUUCACAGGACAAAAUGAUUUUGGGCUAUGACGAUUGAAGAUGAGAGCUCUUCUUGUUCAGCAGGACCUGGUGGAAGCACUUGAUGGAGAAGCCAAACUUGAAAAGAUGAAUGCUGAUGGGGAUAAGAAAGCACUACUGCAGAAGGCACACAGUGCAAUUAUCCUCAGUCUCGGAGACAAAGUGCUGAGGCAAGUCUCUAAGGAAACAACUGCUGCUGGGGUUUGGUCAAAACUUAAAGGUUUGUACAUGACCAAAUCUUUAGUUAAUCGUCUUUACCUAAAGCAGUCUUUGUAUUCAUUUAAAAUGCAUGAAGAUAGAUCAGUGGGAGAACAAUUGGAUUUGUUUAAUAAAUUGAUUCUAGAUCUUGAAAAUAUUGAUGUCACUAUUGAUGAUGAGGAUCAAGCUUUGUUAUUGUUGUGCUCUUUGCCUAAGAGUUACUCUCAUUUCAAAGAGACUUUAUUGUUUGGAAGAGAUUUUGUUUCUCUUGAUGAAGUGCAGACUGCUCUGAAUUCAAAGGAAUUGAAUGAAAGAAAGGAAAAGAAGUCAUCUACAAGUGGUGAAGGGCUGACAGCAAGAGGCAAGACCUUCAAGAAAGAUAGUAAAUUUGAUAAGAAGAAGCAAAAGCCAGAAAAUCAGAAGAAUGGUGAAGGAAACAUCUUCAAAAUCAAAUGUUAUCAUUGUAAAAAGGAGGGUCAUACAAGGAAAGUUUGUACUGAAAGGCAGAAAAAUGGUGGCAGUAACAAUAGGAAGAAGGACUCAAGAAAUGCUGCAAUUGUUCAAGAUGAUGGCUUUGAAUCUGCAGAGGCACUGAUGGUGUCUGAAAAGAAUCCAGAAACUAAAUGGAUAAUGGAUUCAGGGUGUUCAUGGCAUAUGACACCAAAUAGAUCAUGGUUUGAACAAUUUUCUGAUCAAGCAGAUGGGUUAGUACUCCUUGGAGAUAACAACCCUUGCAAAAUUGAAGGAAUUGGAUCUAUAAGAUUCAAGUUUCAUGAUGGGGCUGAAAGAAUUCUCACAGAGGUCAGAUAUGUACCUGAGUUGAAGAGAAAUUUAAUCUCUCUUGGUGAAUUUGAUAAAAGAGGGUAUGUGUUCAAGGGUGAAAAAGGAAUACUGAAUGUAGUUAAAGACUCCAUGGUUGUCAUGAGGGGAAUUAUGGAGAAUGGCCUCUAUUCUGUAGAUGGUGAAGUUGUAAUUGGCUCUGCAGCCACUGCAAUCGGAAGAGUUUUAUCAAAAACUGAGUUAUGGCACAUGAGGUUGGGUCAUGUAAGUGAGAAGGGGUUGAUUGAACUAGCAAAACAAGAGCUGCUAUGUGGGGAUAUAAUGGAAAGAUUAAAGUUCUGUGAACAUUGUGUCUAUGGCAAAGCCUGCAGAGCCAAAUUCAAUGCAGGACAACAAAGAACAAAAGGUACCCUUGAUUAUGUUCAUGCUGAUCUUUGGGGUCCAACCAAGACUCCCUCUCAUUCUGGAGCAAGGUAUUUCUUGAGCAUUGUGGAUGACUACUCAAGGAAGUUGUGGAUCUACAUUCAGAAAACAAAAAAUGAGGCUUUUGAUAACUUCAAAAGCUGGAAAACACUUGUGGAAAACCAAACAGGCAGGAAGAUCAAGAGACUCCGUACUGAUAAUGGUCUUGAGUUCUGUUCUGAACCUUUCAAUGAUUUCUAUAAAGAGAAUGACAUUGCAAGGAACAUGACAGUUGCAAGCACCCCUCAACAAAAUGGUUUAGCUGAAAGAUUCAACAAGACCAUUUUGGAGAUAGUGAGAUGUAUGUUGUUGAGUGCAGGAUUACCCAAGAUUUUUUGGGCUGAAGAAACAAUGACUGUUGUAUAUCUCAUCAACAAGUGUCCUUCAACAGCUCUGAAUUUCAAAACCACUGAGGAGAUUUGGUCUGGUCGUCCACCGAGUCUAAAACAACUAAAGGUAUUUGGCUGUGUUGCCUAUCCUCACAUCAAGCAAGACAAAUUGGAACCUAGAGCUGUCAAGUGUAUUUUUCUAGGAUAUCCUGAAGGAGUGAAAGGGUAUAAGUUGUGGUGUUUGGAGGCUGGUUUUAAGAGGUGUUUAGUGAGUUGUGAUGUUGUCUUCAAUGAAGCUGAGAUGGCCUACAAGACCAAGCCCAACAUGGUUCAGUCCAGCACUGAUCAGAGUAAGGAAACUGAUUCUGAAAAAUUAAAUGUUGAGGUGGAGACUAAGGAUAAACAUGCUGAAACACAAGUUGUUAAUUGGCCUCUUGAUGAAGAAAAAUCUGAAGAAGAGGAACAAGAAGAAGCUGACUAUGUGUUGGCUCGAGAUAAAAUUAGAAGGGAAAUCAAACAACCUAAGAGGUAUGGAUAUGCUGAUCUAAUAGCAUUUGCUCUGGUAGCUGCUAGUGAAGUUUUGGAGGAAGAUCCAAAAACUGUUAAAACUGUCUUAGCUAGUAAGGAGAAAGAAAAAUGGCUAAGUGCCAUGAAUGAAGAGAUUAAGUCUCUCCAUGACAACCAUACAUGGGAAUUGAUUAAAAAACCACCUGGUUCUAGAGUGGCCAGCUGCAAAUGGAUCUUCAAGAAGAAAGAAGGCAUCCAAGGAGUUGAACUAGGCAGAUUUAAAGCUAGACUUGUUGCUCGAAGAUUCACUCAAAAGGAGGGAAUUGAUUUCAAUGAAGUUUUCUCUCCUGUAGUGAAACACAUGUCAAACAGAAUUCUUAUGGCUAUGGUGGCAGAAUUUGAUCUUGUGUUAGAACAAAUGGAUGUGAAGACAACAUUUUUGUAUGGGAAGCUUGAUGAGGUGAUAUUGAUGAAACAACCCGAGGGGUUUGAAGUCAAAGGUAAAGAGGAUUAUGUUUGCAAAUUAAACAAAUCCCUGUAUGGUCUAAAACAGUCCUCAAGACAAUGGAAUAGGAGAUUUGAUGAAUUUAUGGCUAACAUACAGUUUCAUAGAAGUCACUAUGAUAACUGUGUUUACUUCAAAUUUCCUUCAAAAGUUGAAUUUGGGGUAUUGCUAUUAUAUGUUGAUGAUAUUUUGAUAGCAAGUAACAACAAGAGUGAUGUUGAAAAAUUGAAAUCUGAGUUGAGCAGGGAAUUUGAAAUGAAGGAUUUGGGAGCAGCCAAGAGAAUAUUGGGAAUAGAAAUCAAACGGGACAGAAAAAGGAAAUGGUUGUAUUUGUCCCAAGAGUUAUAUCUCAGAAAAGUUCUUGAAAGGUUUGGAAUGUCAAAUUCCAAACCUGUAACUACUCCUAUGUCACAACAGUUUAAGCUCAGUACAAGUCAAGCACCUAAGACACAUGAUGAUAUAAUUUACAUGAAAGGUAUUCCAUAUGCUAAUGCUAUAGGGUCAUUGAUGUAUGCUAUGGUAUGUACUCGCCCUGACAUAGCUAAUACAGUGAGCUUAGUAAGUAGGUUCAUGGCAAAUCCAGGCAAAGCACAUUGGCAAGCCCUGGAAUGGAUACUCAGAUAUAUCAGAGGAUCACUUGGAAGAGUUCUGGUUUAUGGUGGAGCUAGGAAUAGCAAAAGAACAGUUGCUAUUGAAGGUUUUGUAGAUUCUGAUUAUGCUGGCUGUUUAGAUUCAAGGAAAUCUCUCACAGGAUUUGUGUUCACUGCUUUUGGCACUAGAAUUAGUUGGAAAGCUAGCCUUCAAAAGGUAGUGGGUUUAUCAACCACUGAAGCGGAGUAUAUUGCUCUUACAGAAACUGUGAAAGAAUCUACGUGGCUUGAAGGCAUUGCAAAGGAGCUAAAGAUACAAAAUGAAGUGAUCACAGUACACUGUGACAACCAAAGUGCCAUUGAUUUAUCCAAAAAUUCUGUGCAUCAUGAGAGGACAAAGCACAUUGAUAUUAAACUGUAUUUUAUCAGAGAAGUUAUUGAUCAAGGAUCAGUUAUAGUCAAGAAGAUUUCAACUGAUCACAAUCCUUCUGAUAUGAUCACAAAGGCUUUUCCAAGUAGCAAGUUUUUCCAUUGUUUGGACCUAAUUCAGCUGAAGGGUGAUUAACUCUUGUUUCUGAAGCAACCACUGGUUUUGUUAAUGUUUUGUUAUUGAACCAAGGUGGAGAAUUGUUGUAUGUUGGUUCAUUAACAACCAUUAGUUAGUUCUUUUACUCUUUACCAACUUAGUAUUUUUCUAUUUUCUGUUAUAGCAUGUAAGAGUUAAUUAGUUUUAAGUUGGUUGUGUUAGUUGGGCUAGAAAUAGUACUUCUAUUUCUUCUUCUUGCAUAGCCUAAUUUUGUAGAGAGUUCUGUACAUAGAAAAUUCUGCAGAAAUUGAAUAAAAGUGGCUACUGAGUUCUGUGCAGUUUUUUUGGUUCAUUUUUUUUUUUUUGCAUUUUGCUUAUUCUUGUUCAUACAAGAAACUCAUUCUUUUGUGAAGAAAAAUCUAAUCUUGGCUCAACAUGAAAUUUUAAGAUUUAAUAAAUAUUUAAAUUAUUUUUUAAGAAAAAAAUAUUUACAUUGUAUUUUUACUGCAAAUAUUUACACUAUUAGUAUUUAGGACAAGUAUUAUUUACUUUAUUUAUUAAUAUAAAUAUACUUAUUAUUUGUUGACAAGUUGAUAUUUUAUGUGUCAAUGGUACAUAUUAAUUUUUAAUUAAAUUGUUAUAAAUUGAAAGUUUUAGCAAUUAUUUAUUUAGUAGACAGCAAGUGAGUAAUUAAAAAUCUUUGUGUACAAGUUAUUGACAAUAUUGAUUGCACAACACUCUAAAAAAAUGAAUUUAAUUGUUAUGAAUUCAUGUUAUUUGUGAUUAAACUGCGUGCUGCAUUAAAACAAAUCCACCAAAAAUAUUCAAUACACGCAAUAUUGGUUACAUUCAACCCUUGUUUUCAGAAAACAUCUUCCUUGCUUUUACGGUGAAAGUGAAUUGGACUUCAUGUCAUCACAGCAUUUGAAACAACAAAACAAACAUGAUGAUGUAUCAUUCGAUAAAUGUUUUCGUAGUUAAUUAAACAAAUUCAGUUACAAAGUCUCGUAAUUUACGUUUACAAAAUUUAAAAGUGUAAGUAAUGAAUAAGUUAUAUAAUUACUAAAAACCAAUACAUAUUUAAUCUUGAUGAAUGAGAAAGAAUUAAAAGAAAUGGUUGUGUGGGGGUGGUGGUGCAGGUGAACAUAGUGGAGGGUAAGAAGCAGUACCUGUUCGACGAGAAGGGGAAAAGGUAGUUCGGAGGGAUUGCUAGGGUGUGCUGCGGGCACUGUCACCAUGAUGUGGUGGAGGCCAUAGCCAACCAAACCAAGAAGUUGCAGCACUCCACUGUUCUCUACCUUAACCACGCCAUCACCGAUUUCGCUCAAGCUUUGGCCUCCCAACUUUCCGGUGAUCUCAAGGUUUGCCUCCUUUUCCCACACUCUUCUCGUUACAAAUCCUUAAUUAUUUUAUUUGGUUUAAUUACUCGUUUGAUUAUACAUAUUAACUUUUAAACAUGUUUUAUCCUUAAUUCACAUGUAAUUUUUUUUAUUCUGGUCUCUAUACAUGUUUUAGUUUGAUGCAAAAAUUAGUAUUCUUUGCAUUAGAUGGACGUGUGUCACUCUCCUUUAACGUUUAAGCAAACAAAUAUAUUUUUAAUUACUCGUUUGAUUCAUGUACAUGUAACGUGUAACGUGUGAACUCUUUAACAUGUUGGAGUCCGGCACAAGUGUAUCAAUUAUUUAGUUUAGUCUCUGUCUAUAUUUAAUUUUAGUUAUUUGAAAGAAAAAAUAUUUUUAACUAUAAAUUUAUUAUUGUUAAAUAUGAAAACUGGAUUUUUUUAGAGUUUUUUAAAUAUUAAAACUGGAUUUUUAAAAUAUUUUUUGUUUUAAAACUUGCAUAAUUGUCAUAAUUUUUAUGUUAAAAAAUUGUAAUGAUUUAAAUGAAGACAAAAGUGAAUGAGAAACGUUACUUUCAACGUUAACAAUAAUUGUUUCUUUAUUCUCAUUUGCAAAUAUAAAAUUAUAUCAUUAGCUGGAUUUCCAAACCAAUAGGGAUUCUGGAUACAUGAGAUUUUGUUUUUAUUAAGCAGUGGCGGAACUUGAAUUCAUUGUAUGAGGGGAAAAAUUAUAUUUUUAUUUUAAGAUCAAAGAUGGUAUGAAUUAUUCAUUGUGAAUCAUUAGAGGCUGAGAGUCUAUAAAAAAGUGUUUUAAUCUUAUAAGGUAUUUGACUACUACUUAAACAAUAAUAGUUGUAACUACUUAAACAAUAAUUCGUGUUAACAUGUACCUUUUGACUGAACUACUUUUUUUGAGAAGGUGUAACUAAAAUGAAUUUUGUUAAUUUGGUACGGGCUCCAAUAGACAAAGAAAUCACCCAGACAAAUAAUAGUUGUUCUUACUCCAAAAUUGGAGGAUCCUUAGCUCCAAUAACCAUUAGAUGUUAGAUAUGAAAUUCAAAAUUUUGGGAGCAGGUGCCACGUAAGCCACUGUCCCAAGAGAUGGGCAUGUUUUAAUGAUAGAGGUAGAGUUUGUUAUUUUAUUUUUAAAAUAUUGCUUUCUGUGUCCAUAUAUAUAUAUAUAUAUAUAUAUAUAUAUGUUAAUGGGGUUCAUGGGACUGAGAUGCCACUGGUUGCGUGGCAUGGUAUGAUGCUAGCACAUGGUUUUGUACCAAACAAUAAAUAAUAUGCAUAUCAUUGACAUUUGAUGGAUAUAUGAACGAUCCCUGUUAAGUUUAUAUCAACAGGAUGGACUUUUAUUGAUGAAAAAAUAUAUAGUACUAAAAAAAACUAUAUUGCAAAUUAUGAAAUAUCAGUUCGGGCUAAUAAUAUAAAUAUGUGAACUAGAUUAGGUUAUCUCAUUCUUAUAUAUUCAAGUUUAAUUUUGUUAGUUUAUUAAAGGUUCAACUGCAAUGCUUUACUUUUCAUAAUCUUAAAUUUUAAUGUGAAUAGUUUGCUUUCGACUUGAUUGAUAUAGUAAAUUAAUUGAGAUGUGCGUAAAUUUUUUUCCCACCAUGACAUAAAAAACAAAUCUUACACACAUCUCGAUUAUUUAAGCAUAAUCUAAUUGUAAUAUCACUCAACAACUAAUAAAUAUAUAUGAUUAAAUUUUUUUUAUAUGAAUAAUAUUUGGCAACUGAUUAUAUUUGCUUAACUGUAUAUUACUUAAUUUAAUUUUAAUUAGAGAAUCACGUUUGAAAUUACUAGUACAAUAGAUUUACUAGAUACUGUUUCAAUGUUAGAUAUAUUUUUUUAGUAACCUUUCAAUUUGAUGAUAAUGAGUGAAAGUGGCUCGUGAAAAUAGAAUUAGUAAAGAUAUCUAUAUUUAUGUGAUGAUUAUUUGAAAUAAUAAACCUUUUGUCUUUGUUUGUUAUAUAUUUCACCAGGUGGUGUUUUUCACAAACUCUGGAAAAGAAGCAAACGAAUUGGCCAUGUUGAUAGCAAGGUUGUACACCGGGUGCCAUGACAUAAUAUCUCUCCUCAUCAUCACCCUCUCACCAUUCAUUUCCCUAUAUAAGACUUUCCUAUUCCUCCUUCUUCCUCAUUCUCCAUUUCCACACUCUCUCAUCCGAUUCGGGUCGGGUUUGUGUUAUCGGAACCUUCACCGGAAAAUUCUCAGUCGACGUAGCGAAAAUGGCGGUAUCCCUAGCGACGAGGCUCGUGCGGCGGCGAUCGCCACCGCUUCUCUGGCGGCGCAGCUUUUCUAUGUCGGCAGUGGACGCCGAAAAGGAAGUCGUGGUCGUGCCGGAGCUUCCACCGUUCGAUUACUCCCCGCCGCCAUAUGCGGGCCCCACCGCUGAGGAGAUUCUGGCGAAGCGCAGGGAGUAUCUUAGUCCUUCCAUCUUGCAUUCAUACAAGAACCCUGUGAGUCCGCGCUGCACACGAUUAUUUUCCGACAAAUAAUUAUGAGAGUUUAACGUUGAUCCACUUGAGUAGUGUAUAAGUAACUCAUCAUUUAAAAGUUUUUACCAUGUGAACCAGUUAAUCUUAGAAUUUUUUAUUUAAUUUUGUAAUACAAAAUUUUAAGAUUUAAUAAAUUUUAAACUGUUUUUCAAGAAAAAAAAAUAUUUACAUUGUAUUUUUACUGCAAAUAUUUACACUGUUAGUAUUUAGGACAAGUAUAUAUUAUUUACUUUAUUUAUUAAUAUAAAUAUACUUCUUAUUUGUUGACAAGUUGGUAUUUUAUGUGUCAAUGCUACAUAUUAAUUUUUAAUUAAAUUGUUAUAAUUUGAAAGUUUUAGCAAUUAUUUAUUUAUUUAUUUAGUAGACAGCAAGUGAAAGUAAUUGAAAUGAAUUUAAUUGUUAUGAAUUCAUGUUAUUUGUGAUUAAACUGCGUGCUGCAUUAAAACAAAUCCACCAAAAAUAAUUCAUACACGCAAUAUUGGUUACAUUCAACCCUUGUUUUCAGAAAACAUCUUCCUUGCUUUUAUGGUGAAAGUGGAUUGGACUUCAUGUCAUCACAGCAUUUGAAACAACAAAACAAACACGAUGAUAUACCAUUUGAUAAAUGUUUUCGUAGUUAAUUAAACAAAUUCAGUUACAAAGUCUCGUAAUUUAGAUUUACAAAAUUUAAAAGUGUAAGUAAUGAAUAAGUUAUAUAAUUACUAAAAACCAAUACACAUUUAAUCUUGAUGAAUGAGAAAGAAUUAAAAGAAAUGGUUGUGUGGGGGUGGUGGUGCAGGUGAACAUAGUGGAGGGUAAGAAACAGUACCUGUUCGACGAGAAGGGGAGAAGGUACGUGGAUGCAUUCGGAGGGAUUGCUACGGUGUGCUGCGGGCACUGUCACCAUGAUGUGGUGGAGGCCAUAGUCAACCAAACCAAGAAGUUGCAGCACUCCACUGUUCUCUACCUUAACCACGCCAUCACCGAUUUCGCUCAAGCUUUGGCCUCAAAACUUCCCAGUGAUCUCAAGGUUUGCCUCCUUUUCCCGCACUCUUCUCGUUACAUAUCCUUAAUUAUUUUAUUUGGUUUAAUUACUCAUUUGAUUAUUAUAAAUAUUAGCUUUUAAACAUGUUUUAUUCUUAAUUCACAUGUAAUUUUUUUUAUUCUGG
rnacentral:lncRNA from 1 species